CUCAGGAUGAACGCUAGCUACAGGCUUAACACAUGCAAGUCGAGGGGAAACGAUAGAGAAAGCUUGCUUUUUCUAGGCGUCGACGGCGCACGGGUGAGUAACGCGUAUCCAACCUGCCCAUCACUUGGGGAUAACCUUGCGAAAGUAAGACUAAUACCCAAUGACGUCUCUAGAAGACAUCUGAAAGAGAUUAAAGAUUUAUCGGUGAUGGAUGGGGAUGCGUCUGAUUAGCUUGUUGGCGGGGUAACGGCCCACCAAGGCGACGAUCAGUAGGGGUUCUGAGAGGAAGGUCCCCCACAUUGGAACUGAGACACGGUCCAAACUCCUACGGGAGGCAGCAGUGAGGAAUAUUGGUCAAUGGACGAGAGUCUGAACCAGCCAAGUAGCGUGCAGGAUGACGGCCCUAUGGGUUGUAAACUGCUUUUUAUAAGGGAAUAAAGUGAGUCUCGUGAGACUUUUUGCAUGUACCUUAUGAAUAAGGACCGGCUAAUUCCGUG
rnacentral:rRNA from 1 species